rnacentral:lncRNA from 1 species
UUAAUAGCAAAUAAAGACUAAGAAUUUUAACAAUUAGUCAGAACAGCCUUCUGUGAAUUGAUUUAAUGAAAAAGAAACCUGGGAAUCAAUAUUGUAACAAACCAAAUUCACAAUUCAAAUGUUUUCACUUCUUCUACUUUUAUCUCAAACUAAAUAUUUGUGCUGUAAAAUCCUAACUCUGUCAAAUUUGAGUGAUUUAAUCUGUUAUAUAAAGAAAUCUGUUAGCGCAUUAUAAAAUUUUAUCAAUUACUGUAAUAAUCUUUUCUAAUAACUAACUUAAAAAAAAAAGAAGGAAAAACAGAGUUUUUUUUAAAAUGAUAUCAAAUUUUAUCUAAAAAUUUAUCUUAAAGUAUUGGUUCAAAAUAAAAAAGGAAUAUUAGCUCUAUCCAAUACAUCACUAUGAAAUGUUUAUUUCAUUCAAUAGUUUCUCUUGUUGUCUUAUGCAUCAAAAUUUAAACAAAAAUCUACAUAAAAAUUCAUUUCAUUAAAACUAAAAGUAAAGUAGUAACUAUAAAUAAAACAUCCAGUUUUAGAUGAACUUUCUGUUUAUAUCAAAUAAGAAAAUAUUUAAGUCUCAAUUACUUUCUAUUAUUUUCAACACCAUAAUGUUUUAUUUCAGUAAUGAAAAACUUUAUUUUGCAAUUGAACAUGUACAAAGUCGAAAGACUAAAGAUAUCAAACUUUUUUAAGUUCUGGGGGACAUUUUAAAGCACUAAGUCAAAACAUUUAUCACAGCAUAUAAUUUUAUCAAAUGAAGAAAUUUAAUACUAUCCAUCAAAGCGUACAUAGGCCACACAUAACAUAUAGUGUUUGAAUGAAAAAAAUGUGUGGAAAACACAAAAAUGACCCAGUUUAUAAUUUUUUGUCAUGGGAAUUUCCCAAAGUGUGACCUAGAUGAGGAUGACCAAAGAUAGCAUAAGUUAUCCAUAUGUUUUCCUACAACUUCGAUGUCAAGUGGCACAAACUUGUAGCUAAGUGUGC